rnacentral:rRNA from 1 species
UACAGAGGUGGCAAGCGUUGUUCGGAAUUACUGGGCGUAAAGGGCGCGUAGGCGGUCUUGUCAGUCCCUUGUGAAAUCCCCCGGCUCAACUGGGGAACUGCACGGGAAACAGCAGGGCUUGAGUUCGGGAGAGGGAAGCGGAAUUCCGGGUGUAGCGGUGGAAAUGCGGUAGAUAUCCGGAGGAACACCGGUGGCGAAGGCGGCUUCC